AGGAGAGAAUUUUGGGGAAGAGAGAGAGGGAGUGGGACACAAUAGGAAAAGUUGAACAUUAUUUUUAGGCAAAAGAAUGGAGGAGGAACGGGGAGAUAUACAACUUUACCUCCAACAAAAUUAAAUAUAUACCCCUUCUUCUCCAUUGAAAAGGGGGGACGGUCUUGGAGAUAAGAGGAUUAGAGUUUGUUCUUAGUUUUUUUUGUCGGUUUUCUUUUCGAUUCCACAGAUAAGAUAUAUAUAUAUAUAUAUAAAAUUCAGUUCUUUCAUGUCCUCAAUUUACUUUAAAAUCUGAAAAUUCAAAAAAAAAAAAGAAGAGAAAACUGCUCCGUUUGUUUUUUGUAAUUUUGGUUUCAACAUGGAGAUCGAUUGAGCCGAAAUCGGAUUUGCCGUUCGAGUUUUUGGUUGCUGGUUCGGUUCCUGUUUAUCUGACGUUGUUUAUUUCAAAUACUCAUUGCCGGAUUCAUUGUCUUCAAUUCCAAACGAACUUAAUUGAAGAGUUUCGCAUUUUCAGAGCAGAGAUAAGGGAAGAAAUCCAAAUGACAGAAAAACAACCAAGAAAGGAGUCAGCAAUGAUUCCUGCGAGAAUGGGGAAAAUGGUGAUGCAGCCAUUCGCCACAUUAUACACUUUAGCAGCGGGGAUGCUCUUCAUGUUGAAUUCUUGUAUCAGAUAAACAAUCAGGUUGCUAACCCAUCCUCCUGCAGCUACUGUCAAGCAAGCCAUUGUUCCUGCUUAAUUUUGGGAAUUAACACAUUCAAAAUUUGUUAAAAUACAAAAAUUAGUAUCCGAUCUUUGUUACACAGGACCAAAAUGCAUCUAACAACUAACAGUAAAGUGUCAAGAAAGACCAAAAAAAGAAACCGACCUAUCAUAAAGGGGAAGGUUAUCCAGCCACCAUUUUUGCGGCUGUCUGAAGAGGAGAGUCUUGCUCUUUCAUCAUCAGAACUGGCUGAAUUAUCCAUUCAAAUUAGUCAAUUUAAUAGCAGUGAUAUUUCUUCUUUUUGGAUAUGGAGUUUCAAGUUUUUAUAAGUAAGCAACUUUAUGCUAGACUGCUAGACCCCAGGUCACUGAUUUUAUAGGCCACCCUGUUCAUUUAGUUGGCUCUUUUGUCUUUGUUACGUUCAUAUAAAGUAAUUUCGAUAA